rnacentral:rRNA from 1 species
AAUAGAUACCCAGGUAGUCCACGCCGUAAACGAUGAGUGCUAAGUGUUAGAGGGUUUCCGCCCUUUAGUGCUGAAGUUAACGCAUUAAGCACUCCGCCUGGGGAGUACGGCCGCAAGGCUGAAACUCAAAGGAAUUGACGGGGGCCCGCACAAGCGGUGGAGCAUGUGGUUUAAUUCGAAGCAACGCGAAGAACCUUACCAGGUCUUGACAUCCUCUGACAACCCUAGAGAUAGGGCUUCUCCUUCGGGAGCAGAGUGACAGGUGGUGCAUGGUUGUCGUCAGCUCGUGUCGUGAGAUGUUGGGUUAAGUCCCGCAACGAGCGCAACCCUUGAUCUUAGUUGCCAUCAUUCAGUUGGGCACGUCUAAGGUGACUGCCGGUGACAAACCGGAGGAAGGUGGGGAUGACGUCAAAUCAUCAUGCCCCUUAUGACCUGGGCUACACACGUGCUACAAUGGACGGUACAAAGAGCUGCAAGACCGCGAGGUGGAGCUAAUCUCAUAAAACCGUUCUCAGUUCGGA